rnacentral:rRNA from 1 species
ACGUAGGUGGCGAGCGUUGUCCGGAAUUACUGGGCGUAAAGGGCGCGCAGGCGGUUCGUUAAGUCUGGGGUGAAAUCCUUCGGCUCAACCGGAGGGGGACCCUGGAUACUGGCGGGCUUGAGUGUGGGAGAGGGAAGCGGAAUUCCACGUGUAACGGUGAAAUGUAUAGAUAUGUGGAGGAACACCGGUGGCGAAGGCGGCUUCCUGGACCAUAACUGACGCUGAGGCGCGAAAGCUGGGGGAGCGAACAGGAUUAGAUACCCUGGUAGUCCCAGCCGUAAACGAUGAACACUAGGUGUGGGGGGUAUCGACCCCUUCCGUGCCGCAGCUAACGCAAUAAGUGUUCCGCCUGGGGAGUACGGCCGCAAGGUUG